AUGCUUCCCCCUCCUGGCUUCCUCAUUUCUUUAUUUUUUUCUCUUGCAGAUGGUCCUGUGGUUUCACUUCCUAUUUGGUUUCUGAACUCUCUGAGCACGAGACUUGGAGACGUGGAGUCCUUUCACUGCAGCUUUCAAAACCUUUCUUAGGGCUGAUAUGACAAUUGCUGGCACUGCGUAAUUGCUGUGUGGCUACUUGAAAACUUCUCCACUAGAGACUCACUGAGAGCACCUAUUCUGUUGAAUGGAUUUGGCACAAGGAGGAGGAGAGAAGACAAAUGGCCUGGGCUGAUUAGCCCAGAGACCAUGUCCCAACAAAAUGCCACCAGGAACUCAUGUGGGACGGAGCUGGAAGAUGCCAGCGGUUGCCCCUUCCCCAUGUUAGUGCCUCUUUUCUCCGCACCAACCCUCAGUUCACACCAGAAUGAGACUGCCUGCAUUCACUUUCUGCUCUUACUUCAGAGAAUGUGGCUUAUUCUCAGGCAAUGAACCAGAGGACAACAGACAUUUUCUUUGAGGGAAAUGCAACUUUUUGAAAUUAAAAGGGCAUUUUGUUUUAAUUGAAGAACAUUCAGAUCAGAAACUGGGUUAAAAAUAAACACUGCAGAGCCAGACACAGUGGCUCAGGCCUGUAAUCUUAGCAUUUUGGGAGGCCAAGGCAGGUGGAUCACUUGAGGCCAGGAGUUCAAGACCAGCCUGGCCAACAUGGCAAAAGCCAUCUCUACUAAAAAUAUAAAAAUUAGCAGGGCAUGGUGGCAUCGGCCUGUAAUCCCAGCUACCUGGGAGGCCGAGGCAUGAGAAUCGCUUGAACCUGGGAAGCGGAGGUUGCAGUGAGCCGAGAUCAUGCCACCACACUCCAGCCUGGGCAACAGAGCGAGACUCUGUCUCAAAAUAAAAUAAAAUAAAAUAAUAAGUAAACCCUGCAGAAUCUGAGAGAACAGAGCUCUCGAUGUGGGGGUCUGAUCAGUUUUCCAAGCGUCAACAGACUGGUCCUUCCUAGGAUGCGUGUUUCUUCUGCGGUCGUGUUUACACAUUGGUUUCUGGCAAGAGCAAAGUGUUUGCUUGUGACCUUAAAUAAAAUGCAGACAUCACCUCACUGAGUCUCAUCAAAAGCAGAACUUGUCCUCUCAUUCAUCUUUGUCAGACCAGCAGGAGCAGCCAGGCUAGGUCAUCCAGGGUGACAGUCUCCUUCUCCAUGGAGGUGAAGAUUUCAUCCUGCAUUCUGCUAAUCGGGCUUGGGCCCGCCUUAACCCUGUGAGUGGUUAACACUCCAUUAAGCCCCAGCAUUUCACUAUGGAUUGUUUCUCACCAGGAUCCGGGAAUUAAGGACCAUACAGCUGUGGACAUGUCUCAGGCAAGCCUCCCCCGCCAAGAAAGUUCCCACGGAGCCACCAGGUACAUGUCCACAAAAGGGGAGGAAACUUUCCUGGGAGUCCGCUGAUUAUACAAUGAACAAAGGUGUUUCUAUGUUGGGGCUUGUCCCCUUAUCUGUGUAGCUGUAGGUUGAUUUUUCAGCCUAUUUCUCUGUUUAAAACAAUUCUACCAGUGACCUGUCUUAACUGUCUGCCUGUUUUUUUCCUUUCUCCUGUCUCCAUAUGGAUGGUGCAAUCACAUUUCUGAGUUUUCAAGGUAAGCCAGAAAACUGAUUUGUGUGAGUGGAGUGUGUAUGUGUGUGUGUGUGUGUGUGUGAGAGAGACAGAGAGAUCCUAAUUAUUAAUUUUGGUUUACACAUUUAAACAUAUGGUGUAGGACAAACAAAAGCACAUCUGUGGCUCAUCUAGGGCUGAAAGCCAAGUUAUAACCAUAGUUUAAUUGCUCAGUAUUAAAAAUGACAGGCCGGGCAUGGUGGUUUACACCUGUAAUCCCAGCACUUUGGGAGGCCACAGCAGGCAGAUCGCUUCAGGCGAGGAAUUGGAGACCAGCCUGGCCGGACAUGGUGAAACUCCAUUUCUGCUAAAAAUACAAAAAUUAGCUGGGCAUGAUGGUGCAAGCCUGUAAGGCACGAGAAUCACUGGAACCCAGGAGGUGGAGGUUGCAGUGAGCCAAGAUCACACCACUAAACUCGAGCCUGGGCAACAAAGUGAGACUCUGUCCUCAAAAAAUAAAAAUAUGUAUAAAAUAUAAAUGACAAAGCAUAGGCUGGGAGAGGUGAAUGACUCACCAAGUUUCUGUCAGCUUAUUCAAGAAAGAGCUAAGAUAAAAAUCUAAAUUUGUUAACUCCCAGCUCAGUGCCUCUCCACCUUCUCCACCCACACUGCUCACUCCUAUAUCUAUGUGUAGUUGGAGAAGACAUGCGUGGUUGCCUCCUAGGACCACUCCCCUUCCCCAUCUCAACUGCCCUUUAGUUUUGCAUCCGUACUGCUCUUGCCCCACCUCUCACUCUACGUUCCAUAUAUUUCUAGGGCCAAUGACCCCUUUCCCAGCCUCAGGAUAAUCCUAUGCCCCCUCAGCAGUGAUUGAUUCAGGAAUCCAGGCCUUUGUUAGUGAGGGUGUAGCAUUUAGCUGGCCAUGAGGGAUAAUUCCAACAUGUGUACAUGACCCAGUUUGGGCCAAUAAGAGUUACUAAAUAUUUGAGGAAGAAAUCCCCUAGCUGCUAAGAGGGAGCCUCUGAGGCAAUCUCUAGUUCAUCCUCUGAAUGUCCUGACAUUCAUUCAUUCAGCAAAUGUUUCUUAAGCAGCUACUAUGUGCCAAGCACUGUUCCUAGCACUGGUGAUACAGUAGUGAUCACAAAGUGGAGCUAAAGUACUACUGGGAAAACAGAAAAAAAAUGACUGAAAAAGUAACUCAAUGACAUGGCAGAUAGAUACUAGCAAGUAUGAUUGAAAAUAAUAAUGCAGAAUAAGAGAAAAUGGAGUAGAGUGGAAUGAGUGGGUACACAAAAAUAUAGGGUAGCCUGAGUAUGUGAAGGUAGAAAUUGUCAUAGCCAUUCUGCCAUCACAAGGGAAGCAGCCUGAUGAUGAAGCCAUCACCUAGAGGAGAGCAUGACCAAGGAAACUGCAAAUAAAUGGAAUAAGAGCUUCUGGAUCAAGCUGUUCCUGAAGCUUACCUCGCUUCUGGACUACCAGUUACAAGAUUUUCUUAUAUUUUAAGUCAGUGUAUGUAUUGGGUUUGCUGUCAGUGACCUGCAGCCAGAGGCAUUCUAAUAAUUAUAUUAAAUGAAAUGACAUAUAGAGAGUUUGAUUUUCUUGGGAGCUUUUACUUGAGUCAUUUCAAGAAUAGACCAAUAUUUUGUUGGAAAUAUACUUAAGGUGCAUUUGAGAUAGAAGAUUCUUUCCUAAGGAUUGUGAGGGUGAGAACGACUGCUCUGCACAAAACAAAACAAGAGAUUAAUUUUCUUAUGGUUCUGGAGAGGGAGAUGAGAACAACAGAAGAACAAGAGAGGAAGCAGAAUCUGCAUAUGGUGGAAGGUCACCUUCUCCAUGCAAUAUGAACCUCUCUGUGACUCUCCCCCAAGGCCCUCAAUAAAGCCUAUAAAAGCCUUCUAAGUAUUGCAUUUUGUAAGGG
rnacentral:lncRNA from 1 species